GAUGAACGCUGGCGGCGUGCCUAAUACAUGCAAGUCGAGCGAAUGGAUUAAGAGCUUGCUCUUAUGAAGUUAGCGGCGGACGGGUGAGUAACACGUGGGUAACCUGCCCAUAAGACUGGGAUAACUCAGGGAAACCGGGGCUAAUACCGGAUAACAUUUUGAACCGCAUGGUUCGAAAUUGAAAGGCGGCUUCGGCUGUCACUUAUGGAUGGACCCGCGUCGCAUUAGCUAGUUGGUGAGGUAACGGCUCACCAAGGCAACGAUGCGUAGCCGACCUGAGAGGGUGAUCGGCCACACUGGGACUGAGACACGGCCCAGACUCCUACGGGAGGCAGCAGUAGGGAAUCUUCCGCAAUGGACGAAAGUCUGACGGAGCAACGCCGCGUGAGUGAUGAAGGCUUUCGGGUCGUAAAGCUCUGUUGUUAGGGAAGAACAAGUGCUAGUUGAAUAAGCUGGCACCUUGACGGUACCUAACCAGAAAGCCACGGCUAACUACCUGCCAGCAGCCGCGGUAA
rnacentral:rRNA from 1 species